rnacentral:rRNA from 1 species
GACGAACCGUGCGAACGUUGUUCGGAUUCACUGGGCUUAAAGGGCGCGUAGGCGGGUCGUCAAGUCGGUGGUGAAAUCUUUCGGCUCAACCGGAAAAUGGCCUCCGAUACUGGCGACCUCGAGGGGGGUAGGGGCAUGCGGAACUUCGGGUGGAGCGGUGAAAUGCGUAGAUAUCCGAAGGAACGCCGGUGGCGAAAGCGGCGUGCUGGACCCUUUCUGACGCUGAGGCGCGAAAGCCAGGGGAGCAAACGGG